UCGAGAAUCUUCCCCAAUGGACGAAAGUCUGAGGGAGCGACGCCGCGUGAGGGAUGAAGGCCCUUUGGGUUGUAAACCUCUGUUAGGGGGAAAGAACAGCAGUGGAAGCAACAUGUCCAUUGCCUGACGUUACCCCCAGAGAAAGCUCCGGCCAACUCCGUGCCAGCAGCCGCGGUAAUACGGGGGGAGCAAGCGUUGUCCGGAAUCAUUGGGCGUAAAGGGCGUGUAGGCGGUUAGGCAAGUCGAAUGUGAAAUCCCACGGCUCAACCGUGGAACUGCGUUCGAAACUGCCCUACUUGAGUGCGGGAGAGGUGUGCGGAAUUCCUGGUGUAGCGGUGGAAUGCGUAGAUAUCAGGAAGAACACCGGUGGCGAAGGCGGCACACUGGCCCAGCACUGACGCUGAGGCGCGAAAGCGUGGGGAGCGAACGGG
rnacentral:rRNA from 1 species